AGUGAACGCUGGCGGUAGGCCUAACACAUGCAAGUCGAACGGCAGCACAGUAAGAGCUUGCUCUUACGGGUGGCGAGUGGCGGACGGGUGAGGAAUACAUCGGAAUCCACUUUUUCGUGGGGGAUAACGUAGGGAAACUUACGCUAAUACCGCAUACGACCUACGGGUGAAAGCAGGGGAUCUUCGGACCUUGCGCGAUUGAAUGAGCCGAUGUCGGAUUAGCUAGUUGGCGGGGUAAAGGCCCACCAAGGCGACGAUCCGUAGCUGGUCUGAGAGGAUGAUCGCCCACACUGGAACUGAGAAAGGGCCCAGCGCCUUAGGGAAGGCAGAAGUGGGAAUAUUGGACAAUGGGCGCAAGCCUGAUCCAGCCAUACCGCGUGGGUGAAGAAGGCCUUCGGGUUGUAAAGCCCUUUUGUUGGGAAAGAAAAGCAGCAGGUUAAUACCCCGCUGUUCUGACGGUACCCAAAGAAUAAGCACCGGCUAACUUCGUG
rnacentral:rRNA from 1 species